UACCCCAAAUCAUCUGAAAAUUUAAUGCAAUCCAUAUCAAAAUUCCAAUGGCAUUUUUCACAGAAAUAGAACAAGACAACCUACAAUUUGUAUGAUGCUACAAAAGAUCCCAAAGAGUCAAAGCAAUCUUGAAAAAGAAGAACAAAGAUGGA